rnacentral:ncRNA from 1 species
AGAGAAGAUGGUACGUGCGCACGGUGGAUGCCUAGGCACAGGAAGCCGACGAAGGACGUGACAAGCUGCGAUAAGCCGCGGUGAGGGGCACAUGCCCGACGACCCGCGGAUCUCCGAAUGGGCGAACCCGGCGGGGCCCAUGCCCCGCCGCCGCC